rnacentral:rRNA from 1 species
GGCAACAGCUCAAAUUUGAAAUCUGGCCGCAAGGUCCGAGUUGUAAUUUGUAGAGGAUGCUUUUGGCGAGGUGCCUUCCGAGUUCCCUGGAACGGGACGCCAUAGAGGGUGAGAGCCCCGUACGGUUGGACCACCGAGCCUCUGUAAAGCUCCUUCGACGAGUCGAGUAGUUUGGGAAUGCUGCUCUAAAUGGGAGGUGUACGUCUUCUAAAGCUAAAUACCGGCCAGAGACCGAUAGCGCACAAGUAGAGUGAUCGAAAGAUGAAAAGCACUUUGAAAAGAGGGUUAAAAAGUACGUGAAAUUGUUGAAAGGGAAGCAUUCAUGACCAGACUUGGGCUUGGUUGAACAUCCGGCGUUCUCGCCGGUGCACUCUGCCAGUCCAGGCCAGCAUCAGUUUGCCCCGGGGGACAAAGGCGGUGGGAAUGUGGCUCCCCUCGGGGAGUGUUAUAGCCCGCCGUGUAAUGCCCUGGGGCGGACUGAGGAACGCGCUUCGGCACGGAUGCUGGCGUAAUGGUCAUCAAUGACCCGUCUUGAAAACACGGG